rnacentral:lncRNA from 1 species
GGCAGAGGUUGCUCUUGUCUAAGGCUCAUGACGUCAGAGGCUUGACAUCUCAUGGUUCAAGGCUCAGGGUGUCAGGGACCAGCCUCUGUUGUUGCUAAAGUGGGGGGUUGGCACAGCCGUCGGAUUCGUCUUAGGAUCUGGUGGCGUGGGAGAAAAAGGCAUGAAGUUUGAUUUUAGGUACUCAAGGACAGGGAGAAUUUGUGGGGGCUAGAGCUUGGAGAGGCUUGUGGGGAGAGGGAGGAGGAAUGGGCCCUAGCUAACUCGAGCUUGGAACUCAAGGAGCAUGGGGCCAGUCAGGGUCUAGGGCCUGCUGGUUUUCAUUGGUCCGGGGAGAGGAGGGAGGGCCCUGACAGCUAAUUAGCAUCUUUUCUGUUUGACACCCCUUGCGUUCUCCUUUAAUCUUACUGCAGUCUCCCGUUUUAUCUCAGUGGGGGAGGAGGAAGAGGCCAGAAGAGCCUUUGGGUCUGCUUGCCUAGCGUUGGUCAGAGCUGGUGGAGAAAUGGGGAGGCUGUGCUGUACCUCCUGGAGGGUGCCUUAGGGCCCUGCAUUCCAGUUAGAGACUUUCAGUGAUGGAGUCCCUGCGUCUCCCUGAGCCUAGUGCUCAUGUUUAGUUACAGUGUUCUAAAAGGAGUCUUUUAAGACACCAAGUUCCAUGUUGUUCGACUUUUAGAAUUCUGCAUUUUGUUGUUCUACAUUCAGAACUACUGCUGUACGUUUGAAAUCAUCAAUCAUAGUCAUUCCUCCGUUGAUGAGAGAGGCUGGUGUCUUGGAAGGCUUUGGGCUGGAGGCCUGCGGCCUGUUGGCUGUGCAACCUUAAGCAAGUCACAUAACUGCAUUUUCCUUUUCUUAACGUGAGGAUAAGGAAACCAAACUUGGCAGAGUUUUUGUGAGGAAAGAAAGUGCCUGUCAUCUCAUCUGGCACAUGGGAGGCACUUUCUAAGUGGAAGCUAUUUUGUUGUUAGCACUUUAUGGUUUUCAAAGUAUUUUUUCCCACAUUAACUAAUCCUUACAAAACUCUUAGUUCUGGUAGGUAGAAACAAGGGGGAGUGGAGGAGGCAGGUUGACAUCAGCAGGUCCAUAGAAUGUUCCUGUAUAUUAGGCGCAUGAUCGCUUGUCUUCCUGGCCUGCUGGAAUGCCACCAGUUGCUAGGCUCUGGGGUUUUCUCACUACAGGGGGAUCUGCAGUCUUUAUCUAGUAGCAGCUUCCCUGCUUAAGAGAUAAGACACUACUCUGCAAUCUUCCAGCUGGAACUUUGCCACAGGGCCCCUGCAGAUUGCCAGCAUGGCGGUUAGUAAAAAGUUGUGUCUCUGGGUAAAGACCCGGAAGUGGAAUAGUUGGAUCAUAUGGAAUUUCUGUUGCCAUAUGACUUCACUUAUAUGUAGACGAUAAACAAACAAACAAACAGGGAGAGGAGAUUGGUAGUUACCAGAGGGGAAGUGGGGGAGGGCAGCAGGGGCACAGGUGUACGGUGAUGGAUGGCAACUAGACCUCUAGUGGUGAGCACCACCAAGGUGGCACGGUCUGUACAGAAGCUGAAAUAUAAUCAUGCGCACCUGAACCUCAUGUUAUAAACCCCUGUGACCUCAAUUAAAAAAACACUAUAAAAAAAGUUGCAAACAAGUUUUGAGGGUCUCUGGUUUAUGAAUUUCUGGCUCCUGUUCAAUGUAAGUGGAGGUGGGCUGUUCUGGAAUAUAGCUAAUCAGCUGAAAGUCGGAGCAGAAAUAAGAAUGUUUCCUCCCAGCACUUAUGUUUCCGUCUUCCAUCUUGUAUGUCUGGCUUCCCAGCCUAGGUUCUUAAGUGUUCAAACAACAGAACAGGACUUUAACCCUUCGAUUUCUUGACCAUUGAGUUUCAUCAGAUUGUUAUUCUGGUUAAUAAAUGCGUAUGUUUAUUGAACAUAACACACCUCUUUCAUUUCUUAGAAAAGUAAACAUUGGUGAGAUAUCGGCCUUCAGACUGGGCUGAUGUGGUGUAAGCAUGUUCCCCUGGUGGGGAUUAGCUUAGCCGGGCUAAGACUUUAAAACAUGAAGACUUGUUACCUCUUUGCUCCCUACCCCUUUAAGUUUACCAAGAGAGAUUGACAGGCUGGCUGCUGCUCGCUUUUGCCAGCCAGAGAUGUCUGCAGCUUCCCAGACUCCCAGUCAUUUCUAGUAACAGGAGAGGGGCUCCUGCACAAUUGGCUUUUCCUUUUUUCUCGGGCCAAAGAAGGCUGUGCUUUACAAAGGGCCUAAGCUGGAGGAAGACCUCAGACACUGUCUCCCUGUUCCGGGCGCUGCGUCCAGAGAAUGUGAUGGCAGAGAGGUCUCAGCCUGUGACCCAAAACAGAGGCGACCCUGAGGCAGCGUUGGGUUCUGGCCUUUCUCAGGGUCUUUCCCGUCUCCUUUUCAUCUGGAGUACACACGGGAGACAGCCACAAAGCGAUCGGGUCUCAGUAGACAGGUGUCACCAUAUCCUAAUCCUGGUCUUAACAAGGAAUAUCGUUUAUUUUCAGUUAUAAAAGUAACAUGUAUUCGUUAAAGACACUCGGAAACACUGAAAACAUAAAGAAAACGAAGAUCACCUCUAAUUCCGUAUAAAACCAAUAUUAACAUUUGGACCUAGUUUCUAACAGUUUCUUUAAAGCGCAAUUGAGAUCAUGCAUGUCUGUACAUGGUAUUGUGCCCUCCUGGGAGCAGGGAACGUGGCUUAAGCCACUGCGUGGGUGCUGUGUAUAUUGCUUGUGCAGAGCAAGCUUUCUGUGAGCACUUUAAUGAAUAAGGAAAUGCUUCUUUUUUAAAAUCAUAUCAUAAAUUCUCUUCCAUGCUCUUGAGAACAUUAUAAACACUCAUAAAUUUCUGCGUGUUGAGAUCACCAUUAUAUUCCUUGCAUCGGGAGCAGUAUCUGUUGAGUGUUUAUUAAGCAUUUGAAAAUAUGCUCAGCCUUUCCAGUGUCAGGGAAUUUAAGGCAAUAGUGAAAAACCAAUGUCAUAGGUAAAUGUUAGAAGUUGGAUAAUAAGUUAUGUGUGUGUGUGGUGGAUGUGUCAUACGCUGCAGGUGGGAGUGUAAAAUUGUACCAACACUUUGGAGGAGUGAAGGUGAGCAUAGCUGAAGACCCAGCUGCUUCUCUCCUGGGUUAGAGCUAGAGCAGGGCUUGACAGGCGUCCUUUGUGAAGGGCCAGAGAGUAAAUACUUUCGUUUUUGUGGAUUGCAUGGUUUCUGUUUUUACCUACAGUCAUGCACCAAAUAACGACCUUUCAGUCAACAAUGGACCGCCUAUGCGAUGGUGGUCCCAUAAGAUUAGUACCCUUUGGCCUAGGCGUGUAGUGGGCUAAACCAUCUCGGUUUAUGUAAGUACACUCUAUGAUGUUUGCACAGCAAUGGAAUCGCCUAAGGAUGUGUUCUCAGAACAUGGCCCGUCAUUAAGUGACACAGGACUAUUUAACUCUGCUGUUGCAGAGUGAAAGCGGUCAGGGACAAUACGUAAAUGAAUGAGCAUGGCUAAGUUCCAAUAAAACUUUAUUUACAAAAACAGGAAGUGGAGCACAUUUGGCCCAAAGGCCAUAGUUUGCCAUCCCUUUGUCUAGAGAGAGAGACGCCCGCACUUGAGUUAGAAGACACGUAAGGAUGUUCAUUGCAGUGUUGCGUGUAAUGAGGAAAAAUUGGCCAGAAAGGAUCUUGGAAUACUAGUAGCAGACUGGAUCAACAAACCAUGGUCAUAUGGUGGAAAACUAGAUUGUGGAUAAAAUCAACUAGAUCUCGAUGUGUUGAAUACAACUAAUUCUCAAAAAAUGCAGUGUUUAGUCAAAAAACAAUUUGUAAAAUGGUAACUGUGGCACAGUGCCAUUUGUGUAUAUAAAUGUUAAAGUGUGAAAUGCUGCCAAAUACUGCAGAUCCACGUGUAGUGCAAGUGGAGCUGAUGGGCGGGAUGGCAGGUGCCAGCUGCAGACCAGGGGCUGCCUCUGGGGGUCAGGACCUGGGCCUUUGGACCCCAGAAACCUGGAUGUGAAUCCUGGCUCCACUGCAUGCUGGUAAAACAGGGAUAAUUAUUUGUAUCUUGAAGGAUUUUUGUAAAGAUUAAAUGAGAUUAUGUAUGUAAAACACAUAAAGAAUAUGAAACUCACUCACCCUUAGCUCAGAAAGGGGGUAUUUUUAUACUGCAUGGCAUACUUAAUUGGUAUUUUUCCUGCACUCUCUCUUUUUUCUUCUUCUUCUCCCCAAAGCCCCCGAGUGUGUAGCUGUAUAUUCUAGUUGUAGGAUCCUGCAUUCUUUCCCUGUGCUUUCUCUGUUGCAUAUAUUUCUCCGAAAAGCAUCACUGUGAAGGGUGAGGCAGAAGACGUGGUCAUGGAGAGAGUAUCCACAUGUACCUGGCAUUGUGGGAGCUUAAUUCAUUUCACCAAGUAUAUCUCACCUCAUCUUCAUAAUAUGUCUGUGAGGCAUGGAGUUACUGCCAUUUUGCAGCUCAGAUUGUCUCCUGCAGGCCUGACGUCAUGUGUUUUGGUGGAGCAGUAGAUGUACGUGGAACUGAUUUCGGAAGACAGCCGCCAAGCUCCCAGUUCCCCUGUUAGCCUGUUACGCAAACUUUGCAGUCAGCAUUUUCUGUUCCAAAUCGAAUCACUAAUCACUAUCAUCUAUAUAAUGUGAUUGUCAUUAAAAUCCCUUCUCGGGUAUGAUUUUCUCACAUUUCCGAGUUUCUCUCUGAUUCGGAGUUAUUCCAAGUGAUAUUUAUGAGAACUAUCACUGUAAGUAACAGUUUUUGAAAAUUAAGAUGUGAGGGAAAUUAGCCAUCUUUAAACAAUUAAUUGUGAAUCAAUGGGAUUCAUUUUAGUUUUCAACUUAUGAACAGUAGUCUUUUAUUAUUGAAAAUGUCUCCCUUCACUCUAUAGGAAUCAAUUGGAUAUUUUCGUAAAUAUUUAAACUCAUACUUUUUAAAAAUGAAAAAUAGCAUAAUUUUUAAGACAGAUGCCAAAGCUUUGCCUUGACACCAGCUGCUUGUGACGCUUGUUAAUCUAAAAAUUAAAGAAGCAGUUGAGUUUAAUUUUGAUCAAUUACCAGGUAGUAGGCACCUUGAGUAACGUCACAUGCCGUCAUGUGCUCUAAGGUGGGGUUGUUCUAAGUUCUUGGAAUGUAAGUUAUUGGGCAAGACGGCCACGUGCCGGGGUUUGGAAGGAGUUACUCUCCCUCGCGCGUGACUCUGUGUGUGGGAUGUUUAGGCUGGUCGGAAAGCCCACUUGUUUUGGUAGUUUUGGGGGUAAGGACUGAUUCUGGUGACAUACCCUUCUCUUCCCUUAUAGUCAGGACGAAUGGUCUGUGACAACAUACAGUCUAAUGAAUGAGACAAGCCUAGUGCUUUGAUUGUGGUACCAUAAAAAUGAUUGAUGACAGCAGUUCAUUCUUU